rnacentral:rRNA from 1 species
UACGGGGGGGGCAAGCGUUGUUCGGAAUUACUGGGCGUAAAGGGCUCGUAGGCGGCCAACUAAGUCGGACGUGAAAUCCCUCGGCUUAACCGGGGAACGGCGUCCGAUACUGGAUGGCUUGAGUUUGGGAGAGGGAUGCGGAAUUCCAGGUGUAGCGGUGAAAUGCGUAGAUAUCAGGAGGAACACCGGUGGCGAAGGCGGGUCUCUGGGCAACAACUGACGCUGAGGAGCGAAAGCGUGGGGAGCGAACAGG